GUUUAUUUUAUUACAUACAAAAGAGGUAAAAUAUGGCAGGAAUUUUCAAUUUGGUUUGUGCUAUGGUCCUCUUUCUUUCAUUGUUUAUUGUUCUAACAAACGUCCAUGGAAAAUGCAACACUGACGAUAAUUGUCCAGAUUAUAUGUGUUCGGGUCCUAAAGUUGGAAAGUGUAUUUAUAAUAUUUGUUACUGCAUUAAUAGGUAAGAAGAACAAAACAAUGCAAAUCAUUAGCCGUAAAACAAAUUUUGGAUUAUAUAUCGUCCAACACAAAUAAAACAAUGUAUUUUUAAUACAUUAACAUUUUUUUUAUCAAGUAGUUAGAAUUCACUUUUUUCAAGAUUAAUAAGUGGAAUGUCCGUAGUUCGAACCCCAAUCUCCUGUUUAUCAUAAUGCAUGUUCCUGCCAACUGAGUUAUGCUAGCGGGGACUAUAUUAACAUUUAUAAUAUAUAAUAUUAUAGAAUGUAUGUAUUUAUCUAGAUUAAAUAUGUUUUUUACUCCAAUAAAUUUGUUAUUCGAAUCUAAUUUCUCAAAAGA